UUGCGAGUGUAUAAUAACCAAACGAAGAGAAGUGACAAACUGAAAUUAGCACUAAAUAGUAAAUCACUAAACGAGUGAACCAGUCAAUCCUGUAGAGAGUAUAAUAUAAUAUUCAUGCACAUGUCCUUGAUAAGAGGGAAGAUGGAUUAGGUUACAUAUAUCAUUAUAUGUGCUCUAAUCUCUUAAUAUUAACAUAGCAUUUGACAGUGAAUACCCAAAACCGUACAGGAUUCUACCUUCUAUCAGUAUUACUUCUAGAUAGUCCCUGACCCUCCAAACACCCACCCAGACUUGACUUGAUCAAACUGAUAUAUAGAUCUAUAGCAAUUAGCAUGUACAAAUCGAACUUAAAAGGGAAG